CUAAACGCCAGGGGGCGCCCUUAUCGGGAUAAGGGCUGAGAAGCACCCCAAGAACCUGAUCCGGAUAAUACCGGCGGAGGGAUUGGCGAGCAAUCGACCA
rnacentral:ncRNA from 2 species